CUAAGCAUAUCAAUAAGCGGAGGAAAAGAAACCAACAGGGAUUGCCCUAGUAACGGCGAGUGAAGCGGCAACAGCUCAAAUUUGAAAUCUGGCUCUUUUAGAGUCCGAGUUGUAAUUUGCAGAGGGCGCUUUGGCUUUGGCAGCGGUCCAAGUUCCUUGGAACAGGACGUCACAGAGGGUGAGAAUCCCGUACGUGGUCGCUGGCUAUUGCCGUGUAAAGCCCCUUCGACGAGUCGAGUUGUUUGGGAAUGCAGCUCUAAAUGGGAGGUACAUUUCUUCUAAAGCUAAAUAUUGGCCAGAGACCGAUAGCGCACAAGUAGAGUGAUCGAAAGAUGAAAAGCACUUUGGAAAGAGAGUCAAACAGCACGUGAAAUUGUUGAAAGGGAAGCGCUUGCAGCCAGACUUGCUUACAGUUGCUCAUCCGGGUUUUUACCCGGUGCACUCUUCUGUAGGCAGGCCAGCAUCAGUUUGGGCGGUAGGAUAAAGGUCUCUGUCACGUACCUCCUUUCGGGGAGGCCUUAUAGGGGAGACGACAUACUACCAGCCUGGACUGAGGUCCGCGCAUCUGCUAGGAUGCUGGCGUAAUGGCUGUAAGCGGCCCGUCUUGAAACACGGACCAAGGAGUCUAACAUCUAUGCGAGUGUUUGGGUGUCAAGCCCGAGCGCGUAAUGAAAGUGAACGGAGGUGGGAACCCGCAAGGGUGCACCAUCGACCGAUCCUGAUGUCUUCGGAAGGAUUUGAGUAAGAGCAUGGCUGUUGGGACCCGAAAGAUGGUGAACUAUGCUUGAAUAGGGUGAAGCCAGAGGAAACUCUGGUGGAGGCUCGCAGCGGUUCUGACGUGCAAAUCGAUCGUCAAAUUUGGGCAUAGGGGCGAAAGACUAAU
rnacentral:rRNA from 1 species